GAAACCUUCUGUGACAUUGGCAUUGUUUUGUCUAUCCCUUCAGAUGUCCCAAGUCUGACUGCCAACACGCUGGAGAUGCUGAAUGCCACCAUAACAAACAGCUGCCCCCUCACUGAAUCUGCUGCUUCCAGUCCCUACCUCAUCCUCUUACCUCUAUUAAUCGGUUGCACCAUUGAAUUAUGAUGGAUCUGCACCGCGCUGAGAAGAAAAAAAGGGGCGUGGCAGCCUGACAAUAGUGCGGCAUCGAUCAGAAUAAAAUUAGAAGCAGAGAAGGAGGCGAGCAAUAGUACAUGAUGGACAUUGAUUUUACAAAAGAAAAAGUAAUGAAAUAAAAAAGAAAAAAAUGUUUAAUUUAUAAUACAAACUUUAUAAAAGAAAUUUUGAAUAUAAAUAUGUAAAUAUAUGUUAUAAAAAAGCAAUGUUUACUGGCACUUUAAGUUUCUAUCCUUCCUGCUGAGGACAAUUAGUUAAAGCUAUAAAACAGUCAAUAAAAAAACAAUGUCCAAAUC